rnacentral:rRNA from 1 species
CUCAGGAUGAACGCUAGCUACAGGCUUAACACAUGCAAGUCGCGGGGCAUCAUGGCAUGUAGCAAUACAUGCUGAUGGCGACCGGCGGAUGGGUGAGUAACGCGUAUCCAACCUGGCCCUAUCUCGGGUACAGCCCCUCGAAAGAGGGAUUAAUCCCCGAUGUUCCCUGGGAUCCGCAUGUUUUCCAGGGCAAAGGCAUUUGUCGGAUAGGGAUGGGGAUGCGUUCCAUUAGGCAGUCGGCGGGGUAACGGCCCACCGAGCCUACGAUGGAUAGGGUUCUGAGAGGAAGGCCCCCCACACUGGGACUGAGACACGGCCCAGACUCCUACGGGAGGCAGCAGUGAGGAAUAUUGGUCAAUGGCGGUAACGCUGAACCAGCCAAGUAGCGUGAGGGAUUACGGCCCUAUGGGUUUUAAACCUCUUUUGUUAGGGAGCAACCGGUGGCACUUGUGCCAUUCUGCGAGUACCUUUCGAAUAAGCAUCGGCUAACUCCGUGCCAGCAGCUGC